AAGUCGUAACAAGGUUUCCGUAGGUGAACCUGCGGAAGGAUCAUUAACACGUAUCCAACGUUAAACCCCUUUCUUAGAAAAGGUAGCAAUCCCUGGUAAAUCAUUGCCGAACAGUUUUGAUUCAGGGACUUCUGCGUAGACUGUGCUUGAGCGUGAGGCAAGUGGCCUGGCAUUCCUCUGCUUGUUGGUGUCUGAAAGUGUCACCAGCUCUGUACGAAUGGCGCAGUCACGAUCGCUAGAGGCCGACACGGCCGGCGACCGGGUCACUGGGCGCGAGCCCCCCUCGUCACCUUUGCAUGAAAACGGGCCUGCGCUUAAUUGUGCGGCCACCAAACUCGAACAACUGUUAACAAUGGAUAUCUUGGUUCUC
rnacentral:misc_RNA from 1 species